rnacentral:lncRNA from 1 species
UUAGUUGUAGUGUUGUAGUCACUAAACUGUCACUAGUCAGUCGCAAGGGCCAGUUAGUUCAGUUCAUCAUGUAUUGAAUACAGAUUACAGUUCAUGUUUCCAGUGUUUUAUCCGGGAAUUUAUUUGUUUUGAAGUCACUUGAUCUUCUAUUAUCAAUGAGACGUAUGUCGCGUCAUGCGCCGAUACAGCUUUGAAGGGGCGCACAAUCACGAGUAUCAUGGGGAAGCUGGUGACCCUUCGUUGCCAUAUACUUUUCGUGGAAAAGAGUUCAACGCAAGGACGACCAUGAGAUAGAGAAAAAACCAUUCAAGGGCCUUCUCAUAACUAAAGUUAUGAUUGACAUGGAGAAAAGGAGAAGAAACAGUCGUCUGCUGAAGUCAAUGAAGUCGAGACACUUGAAAAUUUUAAUUUGGAGCUCCAGCCAUAAAAUACAAUUCGUCGCAUUACUAUGUUAAUUAUGAAUGUUUAAGUAAAGGAUUUAUUCAUCAAUUUUGAAGUUAUGUAAUUUUUUCAAAUCCAGCUGAAUAUACUAUUUAUUCUAUAAAGGAGAU